AGAAACUUAGGAUAAUUCCAAACCGAAGGCCUUCAAAGCCUUAAACAAGAGUUAAACCCUCUUAGUUUCUG
rnacentral:tRNA from 1 species